AUUGAACGCUGGCGGCAGGCCUAACACAUGCAAGUCGAAUGGUAACAGGAAACAGCUUGCUGUUUCGCUGACGAGUGGCGGACGGGUGAGUAAUGUCUGGGAAACUGCCUGAUGGAGGGGGAUAACUACUGGAAACGGUAGCUAAUACCGCAUAACGUCGCAAAACCAAAGAGGGGGACCUUCGGGCCUCUUGCCAUCAGAUGUGCCCAGAUGGGAUUAGCUAGUAGGUGGGGUAACGGCUCACCUAGGCGACGAUCCCUAGCUGGUCUGAGAGGAUGACCAGCCACACUGGAACUGAGACACGGUCCAGACUCCUACGGGAGGCAGCAGUGGGGAAUAUUGCACAAUGGGCGCAAGCCUGAUGCAGCCAUGCCGCGUGUAUGAAGAAGGCCUUCGGGUUGUAAAGUACUUUCAGCGGGGAGGAAGGGAGUAAAGUUAAUACCUUGCUCAUUGACGUACCCGCA
rnacentral:rRNA from 1 species